AGCACAGAGGAGGUGGUCGCCCUGGGCCACAGCCCCACUACCCAGGUGCAGGGGAAAGGUCCUCUCCCCUCACCCCAGCCCAUCGCCCGCACGUCACUCCCUGAAAACGCACCCCAAAGGCAGCAGGACCACUGCCGCCCCCCUCCCCGAAUCCCUGCCUCAGUCUGUCUGUGCACCUUCUUUGGCUCUCAGAGCACAGAGCCACGCGGGGAGCUCAGCACCUCUGAUGCCUCACUUCCAGCAGCAGCAGGAGACAUUGGGUUCUAUGGAAUGAGGCAGAGCUAAUCUCCGGAACCAGAGCCUCCAAUGGGGACGGAGGUCUUGGAGUCUUGGACAGCACAGGACCCUGUCACCAGGGCCAGCAGCCCGCGGGCUGGGCGACGGCCACGCUUCCUCUGAGCUCUGCUUUGAGGGCGUAAUGCAGAGCGUUGCUGAGACGCCUCGCACUCCUGCAUCGCGUGAAACGUAGCGGGGUGGUUUGCUCAGAAAGGGAACCUGAGGUCCGAAAUACGCCCCCCCAGGUUUUCUUGCUUUUGAGGGAGGCACUUAGGAGUCUCUCCACUGGCAGGAAGCUGACCGGGACGGUGACUCUGAGGUGACUGCAUGUUUCUGUCGCUCGGGGACCUCUGUCCAACUCCUGAAUGCAGGAGCAGGGCUUCUGAUCCUGGCUCCCAACGAGACAGCAGCGGCUGUGGGAGUCUGACACGUGUCCAGCACGGCUGUGUAUCACUCGGGAUCCCGAAAGGGCACGAGCAGACCCGCUCUGCAAUCUGCCUCAUGGCCGUUCAUAUUCAGUACAUUCAAUAAGAACUGAAAUGCCAUAAAAACACUUGCCUGCCUUCUGCAAGCCAAGUUUUCAUACGUCCAGGGCUCUUCAAAAACUGUCUCUCCACUGCUUUUGCAGAGGACAUGAGUAUUAUUUUAGGGACGAUGUCAUGAUAAAUAUGUACCGUAGCCCUCGCUUAAAUAUCUGUAGGUGGGUGACGCUAAGGGAAAAACAGAGCCGCUCUGUUGUAAAAUGAGACAUCCCAGGAAACUUUCAGUGAUGACUUUGGGACAAGGAAACGAAGACAAGAGGAAUUUGUAAUAGAAAAUGACCUUUGAACUAAAAUGGAUCUCUGAGAACAAAAAUUCACAAAGGUGUGGUUACAAAAAUUCACAAAGGUGUGCAAAGUGACUUUAUCUGAGCAAUUUUAGGCUUCGGCGCAGCACUGCUAACCAACUGCCGCCUGGCCCUUUGCUUCUGUGAAGGACUCAAUGUGCAGCUGGAUCGCCGAGAAACUAACUUGCCAUUUCUGAGGGUCCCUGGGCUCACAAUGAAGCGACAGCUCCCUGCAGUCCAGUGGCAGCAAAGCCCUGGGCACUCCUUGUGUCCAGUGAGAACUGCCUACAGUGGAUAAGCAGUGAGAUCCUGCUGUGUAGCCCUGGGAGCUAUACCUCGUCACUUGUGAUGGAGCAGGAUGGAGGAUAAUGUGAGAAAAAGAAUGUGUAUGUAUGUGUGACUGGGUCGCUUUGCUGUACAGGAGAAAACUGCCAGAACACUGUAAGCCAACUGUAAU
rnacentral:lncRNA from 1 species